AUUGAACGCUGGCGGCAGGCCUAACACAUGCAAGUCGAACGGUAGCACAGAGAGCUUGCUCUCGGGUGACGAGUGGCGGACGGGUGAGUAACGUCUGGGAAACUGCCCGAUGGAGGGGGAUAACUACUGGAAACGGUAGCUAAUACCGCAUAACGUCGCAAGACCAAAGUGGGGGACCUUCGGGCCUCACACCAUCGGAUGUGCCCAGAUGGGAUUAGCUAGUAGGUGGGGUAAUGGCUCACCUAGGCGACGAUCCCUAGCUGGUCUGAGAGGAGUAACAGCCACACUGGAACGGAAACACGGUCCAGACACCUACGGGAGGCAGCAGUAGGGAAUAUUGCACAAUGGGCGCAAGCCUGAUGCAGCCAUGCAGCGUGUAUGAAGAAGGCCUUCGGGUUGUAAAGUACUUUCAGCGGGGAGGAAGGCGGUGAAGUUAAUAGCUUCACCGAUUGACGUUACCCGCAGAAGAAGCACCGGCUAACUCCGUGCCAGCCGCCGCCGUAA
rnacentral:rRNA from 1 species